GCCGAGGCUAGAGUCACAUCUAGAUAUUGUCUGUUGUCUUGGUGUGCUAUAGUUCUCGGAGAAUAAUAACUAACCUUUAUUCACUGACUGUCCUUGCUAGUAGUACUGUCAGUCACCAGGUUAGUAACAUAC
rnacentral:snoRNA from 1 species